GGACUGCUCUUCUGAAAGGAGUCUGGCAGAACAAGAUCAGAAGCGGACAAAAGAGACACUUGAGGAAGGAAAGGCUGAAACAGACAGGUCCCAGCUGGUCCCUCAAGGCCUUAAGUCACUCGUGCAGUCAGGAAGAAAUGCUCAAGGCCUCUGUGCUGCUGCAUCACCUCCUGCAGGGCUCAGUGCCCAGCUGCGUGGUGCCUUCCUUCUGACAUGGCCUUCAGGUUUGUUGCGUCAGCAUUCCUUCCCAGCAGCAUGCUUUGCU
rnacentral:lncRNA from 1 species